AAAAACAGGCACAAACUCUGCAGGAGUUGAACUGAUGUGUGGUGUUAAAGGGGAAAUCUGCAAUUGCUACAUCCAUUUUUGAACUUUAAAUUUUUUUAUUUAUAGCCAAUUGAUUCUUGAAGAAUAUAACACAUGCCUCAUGAGCUGAGUUCAACUGUCAUACCCCAGGCCUCUCGGAUGGCGCCAUUAUAGGAUUAAGCACAGAUAACUAUAGGCCAUUAUAGGAUUAAGUUGGGUCCUACAGUAGGUCUAUCUUGUUGUUAGGUGAAGUUAUGGGUCCUACACUAGGUCUAUGUUAUUGUCAUGUGAAGUUAUUUGUCCUAUGUUGUUCAGUGAUGUUAUGGGUCCGACAGUUGGUCUACGUUGUUGUUCGGUGUUGUUAUAAAUUCUACAGUAGGUCUAUGUUGUUGUUAGGUGAAGUUAUGGGUCCUAAAGCAGAUAGGACCCAGUAGGUAGGACCCAUUAGGUGAAGUUAUGGGUCCUACAGUAGGUUUAUGUUGUUAGUUGAAGUUAUGGGUCCAACAGUAGGUCUAUAUUGUUGUUUGAUGAAGUUAUGGGUCCUAGGGUAGGUUUAUGUUGUUGUUAGGUGAUGUUAUAGGUCCUACAGUAGGUCUAUAUUGUUGUUAGGUGAAGUUAUGGGUCCUACACUAGGUCUAUGUUAUUGUCAUGUGAAGUUAUUUGUCCUAUGUUGUUCGGUGAUGUUAUGGGUCCGACAAUAGGUCUAAGUUGUUGUUAGGGGAAGUUAUGGGUCCUAAAGUAGGUAGGGCCCAGUAGGGAGGACCCAUUAGGGGAAGUAAUGGGUCCUACAGUAGGUUUAUGUUGUUAGUUGAAGCAUGGCACUAUUGGUGGCUCGGUGUGUAUUAAAACAUCACCACACGAAAAUCACUACAUGCCGUGCCCCCCAAUAGUGCCAUGCUUCAACUAACAACAUAAACCUACUGUAGGACCCAUUACUUCACCUACGCCAUCUAAACAAAAAUCAAAGAAUAUUAACUAUAUGCAGUUAUCUUAGCCGGCCAGCUAACAUUAGCUAUUUAGCAAAUUAGCUAUGGUCAGCGAGCUGGAGCCCGACUAUCAGAGAGAGACCAGUUAGAACCCGAUUAACAAAACCCAACUAAAACAUAACUGCAGAUCAAAAGAGCAGAGACAUACAGAAUGAUGUCAGGGAAAAUCCCCAAUAUCCAAAAUAGAAAGAUUACAGAUGUCAGUCAGCUAGUGCGCUAGCAGUAAUUCAAGGUUGUAAAAGUUACAAAACUCCCAUAGUCUACUUCACAGAGAACAUGCUGAAAGUAGGGAUGGGGAAACAAAGCUUCCUGAAGCAUUGACACUUUCCAACCAAUUGUGUCAUAAAUAGGUUCAUUACUCAAGGCUUUGAGCGACACAGAAUUUAGAACAGCCACAUUAUUAUAGAUGACCUCACACACGUCGUAGUGCCUGCGCAGUGUAGCCUUUGUGUCAUCUACUAAACCACUGGCCAUGUUCGAGAACAUCAAAUCCAUGCUGCAUUGUGGGUAAAUUAUGACUGGCCGACUGAUGUAUAAAUAAUAAUGAGUAGUUAUUUAUGAUGCAAGGUGAUUUGUAGGUCUGUCAGUCAGAAGUUGGCUGCAAUGUCAAACAAUCCCAAUACCAAACCAAUCAGGUGGUUGUUUCGACGAAAUGAAUCUUCAGACCCCAUUGAUGACAUAAUGCUGAUAAAGUGAUACAGGCAUCGGCACACUGCUUUGAAGUUUACUGCUUAGCGAUUUGGACGCAUGCCUCGUACCUCCAGUGUCUAAUGUAACAUCCCUAUUGAAAUGUUGACAACAAAAAAAAGGAGCAAGCAUAUUGAUUUCCUCUGUUGUUUUGAACCCACGGCCAGAAGGCAUCAGAGCCCACCGUGCUAACACAUUCCCACUAAAUAACAUAACCACACAGUUCAUGAAAAUCAUGAGGUGUGGUUAACGUUUGCAAGCAUGAGCUAGAUAUCGACCUAGUGUGACCUUCCUGGUCCCCCAAGUCAGUGAGUCAACACAGUAAGGAGUAAAUGAAUGGAGGGUUCAUUUAUUUCUAAAGCUGCAAUGAUGGGACACACACAGUAUGGAUGAAUGAUCAGUAGUGACGUGAUAUAAAUAGCACUCCCACAGCAAUUCUCCAUAAAUCUGCCCUACAAUAUACUAACAAAAAACGAUUGAAAUGUCUAUUAAAGUCAUUGUGAUUGUACAGUGGAUUUAACAAUUCCUACUAAUUCCUAAUUUACAAUAAUAAAAUGAAUACAUUGUUUCCAUGUGUAAUCUCAUAUUCACAACAUCAGAAUAAACUGUCAUCCAUUUUAGUAUCAAAAUAUAUCAAAUUUACCCAAAGAAUUAUUCAAUGUCCCCCUCUGGUGGCGAAGAAGUAUAUACACCUAAACUAACAAAACCGGGCUGAUAAACUGGCUGGUGUUCAUGAGUUUAUAAAACAUAUACUUUGAAUGAUCAGUAGUCGACAGGGCAAAAAUAGCGCUCCUAAAGAUUAAUGCAUUUUCCAGUUAGCUACCAACUUGAAAGAUGGAACUUUAGCAUAAAACACACAUGGAAAACUGAGAUUUGGCAAGUGACUUAUAAAGUGAGGCUUAUUUGACGCGAAACCAACAACAGUAGUUACUAAAACAUAAAUUGCUAAUGUAUGAUGUAAUGUCAACUUUAUACAUUUCUAUCCCAGGACCACUCAAUUUUCAAAUUCUCAAAAAAUCUGCUGUGGAUUACCCAGAAACCCAAUUGAGUGGUCCUGGGAUAGAAAUGUAUAAAGUUGACAUUAUGGGUCCGACAGUCUGCGACUUCAAGGCAAUUCUGCUAGUGUGACGUAUAAUCUAGUGGACGGAACGCUUCUUUCAAAUGCAGCAACAGUUAGUCAGACACCUCUUUAGCUUGCUAGACAAAAUAGCCGAACCAAUAAAGCUCUUUAGACGCUUUAGUGUAUAUUAUAUUAGUUGUUCAGUGUAUAUUAUUUGUUUUAAGCCCACUUCUGUCGUCUAGUUAGUUAUCCGAUUUAAUUUCAUAUUUACGGUGUUGUUGUUAUUAGUCAACUAGCGGGCUGGUUAAGUUAGCAUUAGCUAGCCAUCUAACAUCUCCGUCCAUGAGUUCACUACGCUACCCUCCUCCUGUUAAAGGAGAGGAGAUAUGCUGGACGGAGGAAGAAGAGAAGGAUGUUUCAAUACAAAAACAAGUAGAGGGUGAGGCUGUUAACGUGGAAGAGAAAGACUUUUCAGUGAAAGAAGAAGAGAAAGACUCGUUCAGAGUGAAAGAGGAAGUUACAGUAAAAGAAGAAGAUGCCGUUUUUGGAGUGAAAGAGGAGGGGGAGAUGACUGUCACAUCCAAAAGGAGGAAGAAGAGGAGGAAACUGGAUAUCUGGGCCCGGUUUCCCAAACUCAUCUUAAGGCACCCAAUGGUUCUAACGAACUUAGCCGUAAGAUGGUUUUGAGAAGCCGGGCCGCGAUUAACACUAGAGAGAGGCCGGGCAGUCGUGGAUCCUCUGGGGAGCCUCAACAACCUCAUGAUGCUGACGAGGCAGAGAAGAGUCUCUCCAGAUCAGAACACCUCAAGAAACACUGCAGAGAUCAAAAGGGAAGAGAACUCACUGCUGCUCUGACUGUGGGAAGAGAUUCACCUCAUCAGGCAUUAAAAUUCAUCAGAGAACACACACAGAAGAGAAAUCUUAUAGCUGUGGUCAAUGUGGGAAGUUUAACUGAGUCUAGCAAUCUGAUGAAUCACCAGAGAAUACACACAUGAGAGAAACCGUAUAGCUGUGAUCAAUGUGGGAACAGUUUUGUUCGGUCUGACCAUCUGACUCUACACCAGAGAACACACAGGAGAGAAAACUUAUAGCUGUGAUGAAUGUGGAAAGAGUUUUACUUCAUCUAACCAUUGUACACCAGAGAACACACACAGGAGAGAAACCUCAUAGCUGUGAUCAAUGUGACAAGAGAUACUCUGAUAAAAGCUGAUCAAACAUCAGAAAAUACAUACAUGGAGGAGUUGUUUCAUGAUAUCAAUGAAAUAUCCCACUUAGCAAAAUGUAGUUGAAAAUAAGACUAAGUCCGAAGUCCAAUAUACAUUGGUUGAAAGUGAAAGUUGAGAAGAUGUUUUUCUGGCCAUUUAACUUAAUUUCAACGUACUUGCAGCCUAUACACAUGGAUGCAGUGUAAUAAAUUAGUAUAUAAUCAAUUCUAUUAACAAUCCUACAUCGCUCCAGUAUUUCUUAACAUUCAAGUGCUACUUGUCUUUAUUCCACUACUGAAGAAGCAUGACUCACAUCACCUCAUAUUUCAAACAUUCAGCCUGCCAAAAUAUACAUGUUUUAUUAGUCCAUGCCUCACCACUAAGUUAAUUAUUGCCAAUACAUUUUAACAAAGGAGUGUACAUUUGGUUUUGAUCAUUCAUAUUUACAAAUCAUGUAACAUUUAGUAAUCAUAAUUAUUUAUGCAACCAACUGACAAUUUUUGGCUACAAUUAUAUUGACAUUGUUGCCCUGCUUAUAAAAUACCAGAGUUCAUUCUCAGAUGUGCCAACCCAAAUGUACUAGAGCAUGACAUUGGGGACUGGGCCCCGAUCCAACAACAUCCUUAUCAAGUGAACCCUGAAAAGUGAGAGAAGCUCUGCAUGGAGGUGGAAAGUUACUACAGAUAUUAAGGAAUGAGAAGCUAGUGAGCUUUAGGAAGAUGAGAGUUCUAGAAGCUAGUGAGUUUUAGGAAAUCAAAUCAAAUUUAUUUAUAUAGCCCUUCGUACAUCAGCUGAUAUCUCAAAGUGCUGUACAGAAACCCAGCCUAAAACCCCAAACAACAAGCAAUGCAGGUGUAGAAGCACGGUGGCUAGGAAAAACUCCCAAAACCAAAACCUAGGAAGAAACCUAGAGAGGAACCAGGCUAUGUGGGGUGGCCAGUCCUCUUCUGGCUGUGCCGGGUGGAGAUUAUAACAGAACGUGGCCAAGAUUUUCAAAUGUUCAUAAGUGACCAGCAUGGUCCAAUAAUAAUAAGGCAGAACAGUUGAAACUGGAGCAGCAGUACGGCCAGGUGGUCUGGGGACAGCAAGGAGUCAUCAUGUCAGGUAGUCCUGAGGCAUGGUCCUAGGGCUCAGGUCCUCCGAGAGAAAGAAAGAGAGAAUUAGAGAGAGCACACUUAAAUUCACACAGGACACCGAAUAGGACAGGAGAAGUACUCCAGAUAUAACAAACUGACCCUAGCCCCCCCCCCACACACACACACACAUAAACUACUGCAGCAUAAAUACUGGAGGCUGAGACAGGAGGGGUUCUAGAAGCUAGUGAGUUUUAGGAUUCUAUAGAAAGAAAAAGGAGACAAAAAUAAAACGAUUGGUAUAUUCAUAUUUAGAAAUACGUGUUUUUCUUGUUUUUAAUUGUUGCCAGCCAGUAGACACCAUGUUUAUAUUUUAGAAGGUGAAGCAGUGUAGUUGAUAAUAAUGUGAAAUUGAAGUUUUCUGUUGGUGGUGAGCAAACCUGUCCAUCCAUAUAGGAUAUAUUUGUCUUAAAGGGGAACGUUUUACAGGCUUUGGUUUUUCCAUUUAUGUUUUGUGGUUGGAUUUUAGCACGUCUAGCUCGUCAAUACGUAAAGCUCGUCAGCGCGUAUAGCUCAUUAGCGUAUACGCUCGUUAGUCAAUGUGUUACACCUGUGCUGGCUUGUCCAUCAUGUUGUUAAUAUUUUAAUCAAUGGAUUUUCCUUAGAGUGCUCAUUAGUCUUUCAGAUGUUAAUCUUCUGUUUGUUAUCCUCUUAUGUUUGUUGUGUGUUAAAUAUUUCAGUUUAUUUUCAUUGUUUUUUAUUUUUGUAAAUUCAUGUGAAGCCAUUGUGUUGCAUCCAUGUCUGAAAUGUGCUGUAUAAAUAAAGCUUGAUUUGAACAUAUUGCAAAACAAAUUAACCCAA